AAGUUAUGCUAGUUGUGGUUUGUUACCUUCCCCUUAAAGUUAUUAUGACAAUUUCCAGUGUUAUGAAACCUUACUUCGAAGCUUUUAUGACCAAAUUCUGCCUUAAGUGAACUGUCUUUCUGUUGGGUUUUAUUCUAAAUAAAUCAAGUUAUUUAUUUGCUACCUUGUGACUGAAUUCCCUACUGACUCAUUUAGAAUUGUAAACUGUGAAUACUACAAAUAAAUUUGUUGUCCUUAAUUUUACAAGAAGCCCAGAGGAGAAAGCUGUUCCAGUUGUGAAAGUUAUUGCAACUCCAGAGAUAAAAUCAACUGAAGAGUCUGGGAUUGUCCCAGAAAAUGUAUCCAAAUCAAAGACGACGAAUGAAGUCAAGGGGGAAGUUACUCAUCCAUAAAUCCAUCGAGACGCUGUGAUUACCAGGUUAUAGAAAUAUGCAUAAGAAGACUUUGGUAUAUGUUACGUAGUCAUCGCAGAUGUUUAAUCGUGUCUCACCGUAACACGAAGGCAACUAUCCCAUUGUGAAAGAAAUCACUGACCAGUCAUUUGCGCUCCUUUAGUUAUCCGAUGAGACGGAAAUAACUUUGGUGGUUCAGAAGCUUCCGCUCUCGAGACACCCUCACACAUUAUCACUGGAAGCCUUUUGUUAUAUAUAGUUAUUAUUUCUGUCAAGUAGAAUGCUGUUUUCUUACGCAUAUUGAUGGUUAUAAGAGUUAAUGUAGUGUAUUAUGUUGUAGACGUCUGGUCGUAUUACAAAAAGGAUAACGUUCACAAAUGGUUUAUUUUUAUGUUGGAUACAAGAUUUUUUUUUUAAAAAAUAUGUACCUUCAGUUACGCCAUGAUCGCUUCCAUGGACGUCUCGUCAAAUUCUUUGUUCAUUAAUAAUUUUAUCAUUUGGUGUUAUAGUCUGAGAUUCUGACAGUGUUUUAAGUAAGUGAGAAAAUAUGGAAAUGCCUUCAGUUUUCUCUGUUCUCAGUGGCUUCCUUCACUAAGUUAUUUAAUAUUUUUUUUGUUUAUUUAAUGAUUCUUUGUCAGUUGUGAAGAUUAUAUUGACAAUGUUUAGUGAGAAUUGGCAGAAUGAUUAAGAGGAAUGAAAUAAGUUUACUUAUUUGUAUUUGUUACGUGUAUUGAAACACCAUUCUCUUUUGCAAGGAACUUCCAGUUUUUCUGAAGAACUUACUGCCUUCCUCUCCAGACUGGAAUACAUUUUCACUAGUGUGCUUUAGGUGUACUCCCAAUACACCAGAUGAGUUUUCUAAUAAUACUUUAAUUUCGGUGUUAACAAAUUAUUUCCUUAAAGUAAAUUUAAUCAUAGUAUUGAAGUGAGAUAUAUAUUUCUUGUAGAUAUAUUGAAGAGGAGAUUUUUACUUCCCAAGAAUUACAGAACGUCUGCUGGAAGGCUAAUAGUAUGAGACGUAUGAACUACGGACGAAAUGUGGGUGAAGAUUUGCUUUAUCUGGCUUUCUCACUAAUUUUUUUUCAUUCUUAAGAGUUAUUUUAUCGUGCGAACAGACGACGGAAGUUUCACCACUUAUCGGAAUACAAAAAUAGAACAUUUUGCUGACAGAACUAUUCCAUUGUGUGUUACAGAAUUGAAAGAAAGCAAACUUCAGCAGUUGUAGUAAUCAGAAUUCUGACAGAGAGUACCUCAGGGCUGCUGAUGGUCAGGAGGUGAUAUAUCAUGGCAGACGAGGCAUUUCGGCGUAUGACGUGGCGAGAGUUACCGAUACGAGAAGAACAUGGUGAGGCAUAUUCUCAGUUCCAGUGUCCGCAUCGCCCACAUCAAACUAAACACAAAAGCAGCAUCCAAAUGUCUCCGAUUAAAGCCCAUUAGAAGAGAUACAGGUAAGUUGAUGCGUACAAACACAUACUCAUGCAUGGAUGCAUGAGUAUGUUCUGUUACUUAUUGAAGAAUUGAGUUAGCUUCCUCUUGAGUAUAUGUCAUACGGAGACAGAUAAUAUGAAAGGUAUAUAGAGAGUUACUAUUGGGAACAAUAAUUUAUGUAGGAUCAGUUCAUGGUACGCCUGCAUCAUAUUUUGUCAGUCAGUUUUGGCAUUGGGUUUCAUUUAAGGUUCUUAUGGUGAUGGCUGUCUUCUGGGAUAUUGUGUGGUAGAUAUUGAUCAAAAUAUCAGAAGAGUUUACUGCCUCCAUAACAAAAGCCCUGUUGAAGGAGGCUCUAAGCCCUUCUGUCAGUUUCUACUCAACUCAGAAGACAGCCAUAUCAAAUUUUGAUAUUUGCAGAGUUUGGUUCAUUUAGGCGUUUCUUUAUUCAAGGCCUUGAAUUAAUAUAUUUAAGUCCUUAGAUUCAGUUUAAUAAAACUUUGAAAAAAAAUGCCACUUCUGUUAUAGGUGUCCUGAAAACUCACAAUAUUUUCAUAAGCUCUGAUUUUAAGAAACUCGUCGUUAACCUUUGUCAGACACACAUCAUGGCUUUUGCAGUAGUAUAUUGUUAAACCAUGAACUGCGUAGCUCAACUCUGACUGGCAGCCUCAAAUUAUUGACGUUUAAAUCCCCUGUUACUAUAUCGAAAAAGAUUGCGUGCGCUACCAGAGGUGUUGUCCGAGCCUAACUGAUGCAUUCCUAAAUUUAUGUAGUGAAUAUGCUAUAUGUAAAGGAAUAACAGUUUUGUGAUUGUGA